CUGAGUGAGGGCCUCUGGCCCGACCUCCAACCCAUUGUGAAUCAAUACCUCGUUGCCUCGGGGCUCACCUCGGGCUCACGCCCCAGGGGUCCCGAUGGACACCUUCAAAACUCUUGCGUCUCUGCGUCUGAGUCUAAAUGCAAAUUAGUAA
rnacentral:misc_RNA from 1 species